UUCUAUGCUGUAGAUCAUGUACCUGGGUGCUUCUAACAACAACAGCACUUGGCUUCUUCAUGAGCUCUGUUGAAAAGUUUGGCUUUCCAUUAAGAGUUAGAGGAGACCAAGGGGUAGAAAACGUUGGCAUCGCUCACUCCAUGUUCACUGUUCGUGGCUGUGGCAGAGCAAGCUACAUAUCUGGAAAAAGUGUGCAUAAUCAAAGGGUGGAGCGCUUGUGGCGUGAUGUGUGGCUGGCGGUAACGUGUAUAUUACAAACUACUUCACAGUCUUGAAGAGGAUUGCCUGCUAGAUCCCUCCAACAGUCUGCA